GCAGUCAGAUUCGUCGCUUGCGCUUGUAAGGUUGCUUGUAAGGUCGCUGCUCGUCUCUUUUCGUUUUUUGCAUUCGACGCCAACAAGGAUCUUCUUUCGUAAAAUGGCUAAUGAUGCGCCUGGAUGCCUGGAUGCCAAUGAUGAUGCUCCUGAAUUGGAUGCGAAAAAAGAAUGGGACUGCUUCAAAUGUGGGGCCAAAAACGAUGGGAAUUUCAAAUUUUGCCAUAGGUGUUUAAGAUGCG